rnacentral:rRNA from 1 species
CCUACGGGAGGCAGCAGUGGGGAAUUUUGGACAAUGGGCGCAAGCCUGAUCCAGCAAUGCCGCGUGCAGGAUGAAGGCCUUCGGGUUGUAAACUGCUUUUGUACGGAACGAAACGGUGAGCUCUAAUACAGUUUGCUAAUGACGGUACCGUAAGAAUAAGCACCGGCUAACUACGUGCCAGCAGCCGCGGUAAUACGUAGGGUGCGAGCGUUAAUCGGAAUUACUGGGCGUAAAGCGUGCGCAGGCGGUGAUGUAAGACAGAUGUGAAAUCCCCGGGCUCAACCUGGGACCUGCAUUUGUGACUGCAUCGCUAGAGUACGGUAGAGGGGGAUGGAAUUCCGCGUGUAGCAGUGAAAUGCGUAGAUAUGCGGAGGAACACCGAUGGCGAAGGCAAUCCCCUGGACCUGUACUGACGCUCAUGCACGAAAGCGUGGGGAGCAAACAGGAUUAGAUACCCUGGUAGUCCACGCCCUAAACGAUGUCAACUGGUUGUUGGGUCUUCACUGACUCAGUAACGAAGCUAACGCGUGAAGUUGACCGCCGUGGGGAGUACGGCCGCGAAGGUUGAAACUCAAAUGAAUUGACGGCGNGAGAGNGCGACGGACGACGACGAGGGGAGGAGG